rnacentral:rRNA from 1 species
UCCUACGGGAGGCAGCAGUAAGGAAUAUUGGUCAAUGGGCGCAAGCCUGAACCAGCCAUGCCGCGUGAAGGAUGACGGCCCUAUGGGUUGUAAACUUCUUUUGUACGGGAAAAAACCACCGGUCGUGUAUCGGUGCUGAUGGUACCGUAAGAAUAAGCAUCGGCUAACUCCGUGCCAGCAGCCGCGGUAAUACGGAGGAUGCAAGCGUUAUCCGGAUUCAUUGGGUUUAAAGGGUGCGCAGGCGGAGUGAUAAGUCAGUGGUGAAAGCCUACAGCUUAACUGUAGAACUGCCAUUGAUACUGUCAUUCUUGAGUAUUGUUGAGGUAGGCGGAAUGUGUCAUGUAGCGGUGAAAUGCUUAGAUAUGACACAGAACACCGAUCGCGAAGGCAGCUUACCAAGCAAUAACUGACGCUCAUGCACGAAAGCGUGGGGAUCAAACAGGAUUAGAUACCCUGGUAGUCCACGCCGUAAACGAUGAUCACUCGAUGUUGGCGAUACACAGUCAGCGUCUUAGGGAAACUAUUAAGUGAUCCACCUGGGGAGUACGGUCGCAAGAUUGAAACUCAAAGGAAUUGACGGGGGCCCGCACAAGCGGAGGAGCAUGUGGUUUAAUUCGAUGAUACGCGAGGAACCUUACCUGGGCUCGAACGUGGAAUGACAGUCGCGGAAACGUGAUCUUCUUCGGACAUUCUACGAGGUGCUGCAUGGUUGUCGUCAGCUCGUGCCGUGAGGUGUCGGGUUAAGUCCCAUAACGAGCGCAACCCCUAUCUUUAGUUGCCAUCAGGUAAUGCUGGGGACUCUAAAGAAACUGCCUACGCAAGUAGUGAGGAAGGCGGGGAUGACGUCAAAUCAGCACGGCCCUUACGUCCAGGGCUACACACGUGCUACAAUGGCCGGUACAGAGGGCAGCUACCUGGUGACAGGUUGCAAAUCUCCAAAGCCGGUCUCAGUUCGGAUCGAAGUCUGAAACUCGACUUCGUGAAGUUGGAUUCGCUAGUAAUCGCGCAUCAGCCAUGGCGCGGUGAAUACGUUCCCGGGCCUUGUACACACCGCCAU